rnacentral:rRNA from 1 species
UACAGUGGUGGCAAGCGUUGUUCGGAAUUACUGGGCGUAAAGGGCGCGUAGGCGGCCCCAUAAGUCUCGUGUGAAAGCCCUCGGCUUAACUGAGGAUCUGCACGGGAUACUGUAGGGCUCGAGUUCGGGAGAGGAAAGCGGAAUUCCGGGUGUAGCGGUGAAAUGCGUAGAUAUCCGGAGGAACACCAGUGGCGAAGGCGGCUUUCUGGACCGACACUGACGCUGAGGCGCGAAAGCUAGGGGAGCAAACGGG